rnacentral:rRNA from 1 species
ACGUUAGCGGCGGACGGGUGAGUAACACGUGGGUAACCUACCUAUAAGACUGGGAUAACUCCGGGAAACCGGGGCUAAUACCGGAUAACACAUGAAACCGCAUGGUUUCAUGAUGAAAGACGGUUUUGCUGUCACUUAUAGAUGGACCCGCGGCGUAUUAGCUAGUUGGUAAGGUAACGGCUUACCAAGGCAACGAUACGUAGCCGACCUGAGAGGGUGAUCGGCCACACUGGAAAUGAGACACGGUCCAG